AAGUCGUAACAAGGUUUCCGUAGGUGAACCUGCGGAAGGAUCAUUAACACGUUAUCCACGUAUCUACCUUCUGUGAACUUAUUUUUUGUUUGUAGUUUUCUCAGGUAUGUCUAAGGAAGCAGAUGACCAUGUCGUGUGUGUUUUUUUGCAAAAAAAAACUCAAACGUUCUGCUUGCCUAGCCACCUUUGCUGAGUGCUAGUGUAUUGAGGUUAUUCCAUUUAAACGAUGAGUUUAGCCCUGCUAGCAACAAAAACUCCUUAGGAUGGGUAUCUGCGAGAACUCGAAUCAUGGUGGUUAUUAACCUAUUAACCCCUUUUUCUUUUUUUAAAUUGUCUUAGUGAGUGUUCAUCCUGAUUUUUUUUUUUAAAAAUCAGGGUUGACCUCCCCUAAAAAAAAUAACACUAUACAACUCUUAGCAACGGAUAUCUCGGUUCU
rnacentral:misc_RNA from 1 species